rnacentral:rRNA from 1 species
CCUACGGGAGGCAGCAGUGAGGAAUAUUGGUCAAUGGACGAGAGCCUGAACCAGCCAAGUAGCGUGAAGGAUGACGGUCCUAUGGGUUGUAAACCUCUUUUAUAAAGGAAUAAAACGCGGCACGUGUGCCGUUUUGCAUGUACUUUACGAAAAAGGAUCGGCUAACUCCGUGCCAGCAGCCGCGGUAAUACGGAGGAUCCGAGCGUUAUCCGGAUUUAUUGGGUUUAAAGGGGGCGGAGGUGGGUAGUUAAGUCAGUUGUGAAAGUUUGGGGCUCAACCGUCAAAGUGCAAUUGAUACUGGCAGUCUUGAGUACAGUGGAGGUAGGCGGAAUUCGUGGUGUAGCGGUGAAAUGCUUAGAUAUCACGAAGAACCCCGAUUGCGAAGGCAGCUUACU